rnacentral:lncRNA from 10 species
CACAGUGCUGGGAUUACAUGUGCUUGCCACCACACCUGGCCUGACUGUAUGACUUUGGAGAGUGCUGGGGACAGCCCAGAGCUCAUGGGCCCUGCAGAGUUGAUGUCAAAGUAGCCCUUUUGAGUCCUGGGAGGAGCCCAUAGAGGCAAAUUCCCAGAAAGGGUGAAACUCGGACCCCGGUCCCUGCUGUGGGCAGGCCCCUGCCCAGGUCCUCCCCAGCCCCAGAGCCCUGCUGUGGGUGGGGAGGCUGGGCUGCAGCAUAGGUGCUGCCUGCACAGUGAGUCAGCAGACUGGUGCCCGCUGCGCAGUCCAGCCCUGCUCCAGCCUCAGACUGCCCAAGGGGAUUAAGGGGGAUUAACUACCUGAAUCACAGGACCAGGAGGAGGGCCUGGGAACGUUGCCCUGGCUCAGCCCACAGUGGGCAGCCCAGGCCCAGAAGCUGGUGGCUCUGGCCUGAGAGAGAGUACAGGCGAGGUGCCCUGGCGGGGGCCUCUCCACCAUGGGGUGGUUGUGCCUGCCAGGGCUGGAGGGAGUUAAGGCGCCCCGGGCCAGCCCAGUGCCAGUGGGGCCCACUCACACCCGCUGUUCCUACAGAAGAGCUGCAUAGGCACGGUAGUGUCAACCCACACCAUCUAUAUGGGGGGAUCUGUACUGGGGCGGCUGGCCUGCUGGGCUCCGCCUGGGGUGGUCAAAGGACAGCAUCACCUGGGGCCUUUGGCACUGGUGUCCACCCUCAGCCCUGCAGCAUGUCCAGCUGGCCAGUGUGGCUGAGAACUGUGGGGUGACCAAGUUGGGCCUGGCUGACCCAGCCCAGCUGGUCUCAGCCUGGAGGUCUCUAGCCCUUCCAGGGGGAUGUUACUGGCCUUGCCAGCUCCAGACUCUGGGGUCCCCCAGCUAUGCUCCCAAGCCAGAUCCCUGACUGUGCCCUGCCCUUGCAUCCCAAUCCCACCCUGGGGCUCAGUGGGGGGGCCUGGGAGCAAGCAGCUAAGUGGUUUCCAGUCCUUCCCGCUCAUGGAUAAAGAGCAUGCCCCUGGGGAGGAGGGAGGUGUGUGACCCUGCAGAAGAGGUGAGGCCCCUCUGCAACAAGGGCAGCUUCAGGCCGGACUGGCCCCUCAGUGCAACCUGGAGGGGCUGCUGAAGGAGAGCUGCGUAGGGGUCGGGGGGAAGAGGAGGGAGUAAGGGCUUUGCCCAGGGCGGAGGGUGCAUCUCACCUAGAAGAGGCUCAAAGGGGAGCCUGCCAGGGUGGAGAACCGGUGACCUCCUUGUGCGAUAGGCAGAGGAGACGGGCAUGAGACCGGUGCCCAUGGUGGGCCUCCUGCACCCAGGCCUGCCGGGGCUCAGCGAGCCUCCCCUUCUUGAUGUGGGGGACACACAGGCCAGCUGAAGUUUUAGGCCCGAGAGGCAGCAGUGUGUGCGGUAGGAGAAAGGAUACCACCCCGCAGGUAGGGAGUGGCCUACAGUGCACCAGGCAGGUCUGCCUGCCUCAGGAAGGUGCAGCAAAGCUUGUAGGCUGGGAGGAACCAAAAAUAGCGGGCACUGCGAGGGAGGGGGCCCUGCCUGGUUGCUAGGGGGUGUAGGUUUGGGACAUGUGCUCCAGUAACUGCAGCUGAGGCAGUGGGUCCCUGUAGGUAGGGAGAGGGAAGGAGAUGUUCUCAGCGGCUAGAAGAGCCGUUUGCAGGUGAGGUUACCAAACCCCAAAUGCCCAGAAAGGGGCAAGUCUGCACUUCUGGGUCACGGUGCCAACCGGUGAUGCUUCCUCAGGGCGCGGGGAGUGGGGGGGAAAUAGGAUGUGUGGAGGUGUUGAACUGGGUUCCUCAGGCGGCACGGUGGGGUGCACCCGGGCC